rnacentral:ncRNA from 21 species
GAUCGGUCGCAGACAAGGAAAGGGGGCCUCCGUGGCCCCUUUUCUCGUGCGGCGGCCUGCAUCCGUUCAGUUGCUGAUGGAAUCGCUGCCGCACUGCUUGAAGCAAAUCCCCGCCGAGCCGGAGGCCGGACCUGAUCCGGCAGCAAUCUCGCACUUGCACAAAUCCAUAUUGCACUGCAAUAUGGACUGGGCGGGAAUGCGAGCUGGGUUCGAAAUGUACCGUCGUACCCUUCGCAUACCUAUUGCGAGAGGAUCGGC